rnacentral:rRNA from 1 species
GAUGAACGCUGGCGGCGUGCUUAACACAUGCAAGUCGAACGAUGAACCUCACUUGUGGGGGAUUAGUGGCGAACGGGUGAGUAACACGUGAGUAACCUGCCCUUAACUCUGGGGAUAAGCCUGGGAAACUGGGUCUAAUACCGGAUAUGACUCCUCAUCGCAUGGUGGGGGUGAAAGCUUUUUGUGGUUUUGGAUGGACUCGCGGCCUAUCAGCUUGUU